rnacentral:tRNA from 1 species
GCAGUGGUGGUUCAGUGGGAGAACUCUCGCCUUCCAUGCAAGAGAUCUGGGUUUAAUUCCCAGCCAAUGUA